UACAGAGGGUGCGAGCGUUAAUCGGAAUUACUGGGCGUAAAGCGCACGUAGGCGGCUUGGUAUGUCGGGUGUGAAAUCCCCGGGCUCAACCUGGGAACUGCAUCCGAAACUGCCUUGCUCGAGUAUGGGAGAGGGAAGUGGAAUUUCCGGUGUAGCGGUGAAAUGCGUAGAUAUUGGGAAGAACACCUGAGGCGAAGGCGGGUUGCUGGGCCGACACUGACGCUGAGGCGCGAAAGCCAGGGGAGCAAAGCGGGG
rnacentral:rRNA from 1 species